rnacentral:piRNA from 1 species
UGAAAGAAGACAGAACUGAAUUUGGUGAC